rnacentral:lncRNA from 1 species
AUGUUCCAAAGCCACAACGACCUCGCCACGGUAGAGGGUGAUAAUGCUGGGAGUGGAAGAAUAAAUAGGCGGAGUUCUGCACUUGGACAGCAGUGCACUGGAAGGGACAAGAGGUCAGUCAGCUUUAAGAGGCAUUUUCCAAGUGACUGGCAAAUAAAUGCUUAGCGUUUUCAUCCCAGUUUACCAAGGAAGGGAGAAUGAACUGCAACCAUAUUCUGCUGAGUUUUAAUGGCAGACAGACUUGGUGGAUACCUUUCAGGUUUAUCCAGCUUUAUUCAGCACAUUCUUCUGCCAACUGAGCUGUAAAGUAACACUGUUUGACAAAACCAGCAUAGAUAUCAUGCAAGUCAUUUGACUGUUUCUGCUUUUUCCCACCCCCCACACCCUCUAGCAAAGGGUAGAUUUAACCAAAUGAUAGUAUAAUGCAGAGAUUUUCUUUUUCUUUUUUUUAUGCCAAUCCAGAUUUGGCCAAUCUGGAUUAGCAGUUAAACUGCUUUUUCUUUGGGAUGUUUCCAAGUCUUUCUUCUUUAGCAGAAUUCACUAACCCCUAACAACUAGUGCUUCUCCAUGCUGCAUCUUCCAGAAGUUACAGGGGAGUGGUGAGUGGUGAUGAGUGUAUAAAGUCUGUGAAGUCUGAAGCAAGACUACUUGAAUUCACAUUAUGGCUCUGCCACUGUGUAAUCUUGGGCGAGAUAAUUAACCUAUCAGUUUACUCAUCUAUAAACUAGGAAGCAUUCUGCCUUGUAGGGCUUUUUUUUUUUUAAUUUAUUUUUAUUUUUGAGACAGAGACAGACAGAGCAUGAGCAGGGGAGGGGCAGAGAGAAAGGGAGACACAGAAUCCGAAGCAGGCUCCAGGCUCCGAGCUGUCAGCACAGAGCUUGAUGUGGGGCUCGAACUCAAGGACCGUGAGAUCAUGACCUGAGCCAAAGUAGGACACUCAACCGACUGAGCCACCCAGGAACUCCAACUGCCUUGUAGGGUUUUUAUGCAGUUCAAUGUGCUGAUGCAGUCAUAUCACUUAACAGAAUGCCUUGAAUAGUAUAGGAAAAGCUCUAAACACUCUCUCUCUCUCUCUCUCUCUCUCUCUCUCUCUCUCUCUCCAUAUAUAUAUGUGUGUGUGUGUGUGUGUGUGUGUGUGUGUGUGUGUGUGUAUGCUGUUAUUGUA